rnacentral:tRNA from 1 species
AGUAUCGUAGUUCAAUGGUAGAGCACUCGGUUGUCUCCCGAGAAGUUGCGAGUUCGAGUCUCGUCGGUACUG